rnacentral:rRNA from 1 species
UACAGAGGGUGCGAGCGUUAAUCGGAAUUACUGGGCGUAAAGCGUGCGUAGACGGUUAUUUAAGUCGGGUGUGAAAGCCCCGGGCUUAACCUGGGAACUGCGUUUGAUACGGGUGGGCUAGAGUUCGGGAGAGGAGAGUGGAAUUCCCAGUGUAGAGGUGAAAUUCGUAGAUAUUGGGAAGAACACCGGUGGCGAAGGCGGCUCUCUGGACCGAGACUGACGCUGAGGCGCCGAAAGCGUGGGGAGCAAACAGG